UACGGAGGGUGCGAGCGUUGUCCGGAAUUAUUGGGCGUAAAGGGCUCGUAGGCGGUUUGUCGCGUCGGGAGUGAAAACCUUGGGCUUAACUCAGGGCUUGCUUUCGAUACGGGCAGACUAGAGGUAUGCAGGGGAGAACGGAAUUCCUGGUGUAGCGGUGAAAUGCGCAGAUAUCAGGAGGAACACCGGUGGCGAAGGCGGUUCUCUGGGCAUGAUCUGACGCUGAGGAGCGAAAGUGUGGGGAGCGAACAGG
rnacentral:rRNA from 1 species